rnacentral:snoRNA from 1 species
AGCACUUGUGUGUGUUUGUGUUGAACUAGGGGACGGAGACAUAAGAACAGACACAAAAAUAAAGCUGCUUUUGCAACCCGGAAGUCACUGUUCAUUAUGAAUAUUGAUCAUAUAGGAAAGAGUGUG